rnacentral:lncRNA from 1 species
GGGGCCUGUUUAUCGAAACUAUCCUAAGUUCCGUCCUAAGAAUUUCUUAGGACAGCAUUUAGGAUAAAGUUAGGACUGACUUACGACACGUCUCAGCAUGCACAUCGAAGCUAUCUUAGGAAUAUCUUAGCUAGGACGUCCUAACCGAUGUCCUAAGUAUUGGCGGAAAAGAAAAUACAAAUUAGAUAUCAAAAAAUAAAAUAUGAUAUCAU